GAUGAACGCUGGCUACAGGCUUAACACAUGCAAGUCGAGGGGAAACGCCGGGGUAGCUUGCUUCCCCGGGCGUCGACCGGCGCGCGGGUGAGUAACGCAUAUCCAACCUGCCUCUGACUGAGGUAUAACCCAUCGAGAGUCAGCCUAAUACCGCAUGGCAUCGUCUGCGUGCGUCCAGCGACGAUUAAAGAUUUCAUCGGUCAGGGAUGGGGAUGCGUCUGAUUAGCUUGUUGGCGGGGUACCGGCUCACCAAGGGUACGCUCAGUAGGGGUUCUGAGAGGAAGCUCCCCCACAUGGGAACCGAGACACGGUCCAAACUGCUACGGGAGGCAGCAGUGAGGAAGACUGGACAAUGGGAGGGUGCCUGAAGCAGCCAAGUCGCGUGCAGGAUGACCGCGCGAUGGGUGGUAACCUGCGUUUAGGAGGGGACAAAGGGAGGGACGGGUCCGUCAGUGCAGGUAAUGGAUGAAUAAGGACCGGCUAACUACGUG
rnacentral:rRNA from 1 species